GACGAACGCUGGCGGCGUGCUUAACACAUGCAAGUCGAACGGUAAGGCCCCUUCGGGGGUACACGAGUGGCGAACGGGUGAGUAACACGUGAGCAACCUGCCCUUGACUCUGGGAUAACAGUUGGAAACAGCUGCUAAUACCGGAUACGACCCUCGAUGACAUCAUCUGGGGUGGAAAGCGAUUAGCGGUCAAGGAUGGGCUCGCGGCCUAUCAGCUUGUUGGUGAGGUAACGGCUCACCAAGGCUUCGACGGGUAGCCGGCCUGAGAGGGCGACCGGCCACACUGGGACUGAGAUACGGCCCAGACUCCUACGGGAGGCAGCAGUGGGGAAUAUUGCACAAUGGGCGCAAGCCUGAUGCAGCAACGCCGCGUGCGGGAUGACGACCUUCGGGUUGUAAACCGCUUUCAGUUCCGACGGAGCGCAAGUGACGGUAGGAACAGAAGAAGGACCGGCCAACUACGUGCCAGCCGCCGCGGUAAAAC
rnacentral:rRNA from 1 species